CAAAGAAAUUAUCAAAGAAGCUAGAUGGCUGCUACACAAGGAUGCUACAAAUUGCCCUAAAUGUGAAAUGGCAGCAACAUAUGACAAAUGAAUGCUUUUAUGGAGACCUGCCGAAAGUUAGUGAGAAGAUCAGGCAAAGACAGCUGUGACCAUCUGGUUAGUGUGUGCACACCACACUGA